GAUUAAGUUAUUAAGGGCGCACGGUGGAUGCCUUGGCACUAGAAGCCGAAGAAGGACGUUACUAACGACGAUAUGCUUUGGGGAGCUGUAAGUAAGCGUUGAUCCAGAGAUUUCCGAAUGGGGAAACCCAACAUGAGUUAUGUCAUGUUAUCGAUAUGUGAAUACAUAGCAUAUCAGAAGGCAGACCCGGAGAACUGAAACAUCUUAGUACCCGGAGGAAGAGAAAGAAAAAUCGAUUCCCUGAGUAGCGGCGAGCGAAACGGGAAGAGCCCAAACCAAUAAGCUUGCUUGUUGGGGUUGUAGGACACUCUAUACGGAGUUACAAAAGUAUAUAUUAGACGAAUCAUCUGGAAAGUUGAAUCAAAGAAGGUAAUAAUCCUGUAGUCGAAAAUAUAUACUCUCUUGAGUGGAUCCUGAGUACGACGGAGCACGUGAAAUUCCGUCGGAAUCUGGGAGGACCAUCUCCUAAGGCUAAAUACUCUCUAGUGACCGAUAGUGAACCAGUACCGUGAGGGAAAGGUGAAAAGUACCCCGGAAGGGGAGUGAAAGAGAACUUGAAACCGUGUGCUUACAAGUAGUCAGAGCCCGUUAAUGGGUGAUGGCGUGCCUUUUGUAGAAUGAACCGGCGAGUUACGAUUUGAUGCAAGGUUAAGCAGUGAAUGUGGAGCCGUAGCGAAAGCGAGUCUGAAUAGGGCGUUGAGUAUUUGGUCGUAGACCCGAAACCAGGUGAUCUACCCUUGGUCAGGUUGAAGUUCAGGUAACACUGAAUGGAGGACCGAACCGACUUACGUUGAAAAGUGAGCGGAUGAACUGAGGGUAGCGGAGAAAUUCCAAUCGAACCUGGAGAUAGCUGGUUCUCUCCGAAAUAGCUUUAGGGCUAGCCUCAAGUGAUGAUUAUUGGAGGUAGAGCACUGUUUGGACGAGGGGCCCUUCUCGGGUUACCGAAUUCAGACAAACUCCGAAUGCCAAUCAAUUUAACUUGGGAGUCAGAACAUGGGUGAUAAGGUCCGUGUUCGAAAGGGAAACAGCCCAGACCACCAGCUAAGGUCCCAAAAUAUAUGUUAAGUGGAAAAGGAUGUGGCGUUGCCCAGACAACUAGGAUGUUGGCUUAGAAGCAGCCAUCAUUUAAAGAGUGCGUAAUAGCUCACUAGUCGAGUGACACUGCGCCGAAAAUGUACCGGGGCUAAACAUAUUACCGAAGCUGUGGAUUGUCCGUAGGACAAUGGUAGGAGAGCGUUCUAAGGGCGUUGAAGCAUGAUCGCAAGGACAUGUGGAGCGCUUAGAAGUGAGAAUGCCGGUGUGAGUAGCGAAAGACGGGUGAGAAUCCCGUCCACCGAUUGACUAAGGUUUCCAGAGGAAGGCUCGUCCGCUCUGGGUUAGUCGGGGCCUAAGCUGAGGCCGACAGGCGUAGGCGAUGGAUAACAGGUUGAUAUUCCUGUACCACCUAGUAUCGUUUUAAUCGAUGGGGGGACGCAGUAGGAUAGGCGAAGCGUGCUAUUGGAUUGCACGUCCAAGCAGUAAGACUGAGUGUUAGGCAAAUCCGGCACUCAUAAGGUCAAGCUGUGAUGGGGAGAGGAAAUUGUUUCCUCGAGUCGUUGAUUUCACACUGCCAAGAAAAGCCUCUAGAUAGAUAACAGGUGCCCGUACCGCAAACCGACACAGGUAGUCAAGAUGAGAAUUCUAAGGUGAGCGAGCGAACUCUCGUUAAGGAACUCGGCAAAAUGACCCCGUAACUUCGGGAGAAGGGGUGCUCUUUAGGGUUAACGCCCAGAAGAGCCGCAGUGAAUAGGCCCAAGCGACUGUUUAUCAAAAACACAGGUCUCUGCUAAACCGUAAGGUGAUGUAUAGGGGCUGACGCCUGCCCGGUGCUGGAAGGUUAAGAGGAGUAGUUAGCUUCUGCGAAGCUACGAAUCGAAGCCCCAGUAAACGGCGGCCGUAACUAUAACGGUCCUAAGGUAGCGAAAUUCCUUGUCGGGUAAGUUCCGACCCGCACGAAAGGCGUAACGAUUUGGGCACUGUCUCAACGAGAGACUCGGUGAAAUCAUAGUACCUGUGAAGAUGCAGGUUACCCGCGACAGGACGGAAAGACCCCGUGGAGCUUUACUGUAGCCUGAUAUUGAAAUUCGGCACAGCUUGUACAGGAUAGGUAGGAGCCUUUGAAACGUGAGCGCUAGCUUACGUGGAGGCAUUGGUGGGAUACUACCCUAGCUGUGUUGGCUUUCUAACCCGCACCACUUAUCGUGGUGGGAGACAGUGUCAGGUGGGCAGUUUGACUGGGGCGGUCGCCUCCUAAAAGGUAACGGAGGCGCUCAAAGGUUCCCUCAGAAUGGUUGGAAAUCAUUCAUAGAGUGUAAAGGCAUAAGGGAGCUUGACUGCGAGACUUACAAGUCGAGCAGGGUCGAAAGACGGACUUAGUGAUCCGGUGGUUCCGCAUGGAAGGGCCAUCGCUCAACGGAUAAAAGCUACCCCGGGGAUAACAGGCUUAUCUCCCCCAAGAGUUCACAUCGACGGGGAGGUUUGGCACCUCGAUGUCGGCUCAUCGCAUCCUGGGGCUGUAGUCGGUCCCAAGGGUUGGGCUGUUCGCCCAUUAAAGCGGUACGCGAGCUGGGUUCAGAACGUCGUGAGACAGUUCGGUCCCUAUCCGUCGUGGGCGUAGGAAAUUUGAGAGGAGCUGUCCUUAGUACGAGAGGACCGGGAUGGACAUACCUCUGGUGUACCAGUUGUCGUGCCAACGGCAUAGCUGGGUAGCUAUGUAUGGACGGGAUAAGUGCUGAAAGCAUCUAAGCAUGAAGCCCCCCUCAAGAUGAGAUUUCCCAACUUCGGUUAUAAGAUCCCUCAAAGAUGAUGAGGUUAAUAGGUUCGAGGUGGAAGCGUGGUGACACGUGGAGCUGACGAAUACUAAUCGAUCGAAGACUUAAUCAA
rnacentral:rRNA from 1 species